GCUAAGUGGCGCACGGGUGAGUAAUGUAUAGGUAAUAUGCCUCUUACUAAGGGAUAACAAUUGGAAACGAUUGCUAAUACCUUAUAUUCCUUUUUAUCAAAAGAUAAAAAGGGAAAGAUUUAUUGGUAAGAGAUUAGCCUGUAUUGUAUCAGUUAGUUGGUGGGGUAAUGGCCUACCAAGACAAUGACGCAUAACUGGUUUGAGAGGAUGAUCAGUCACACUGGAACUGAGACACGGUCCAG
rnacentral:rRNA from 1 species